rfam:Cephalotus follicularis DNA, scaffold: scaffold5175, isolate: St1.
GUCUCUAAUGAUGAUAAAAGUUUAAUCAACUUUCGUUCUGCUGAGAUAAUAUCCGUGUGGAAUGCUUACGGAGACCUGAGCUGAAGAGAC